AGAGGGUGAGAACCCCGUACACACCCCAGAGUUCCGUGCGGACGGUCGAGUUUCGAAGAGUCGUGUUGUUUGGGAUUGCAGCACUAAGCGGGAGGUAAGCUUCUUCCAAAGCUAAAUAUCCGCCGGAGACCGAUAGCGAACAAGUACCGUGAGGGAAAGAUGAAAAGAACUUUGGAAAAAGAGUGAAAUAGUGCUUGAAACCGUUGGGAGGAAAGCGAAUGGAGCUUAUAGUGCAGAUCGAGAAGUCUCAAGCCGGCAUUGCGAUUGGUUCCGGCGUAGUGAUCUCGAAUCUACGUUUGCAUUUAUAGUUUCUUUUUUUUGAACGAGAGGUUCACAUAUCGUGCGUUGCUUUUUUUCUUUACUCAGAAAUGAGGAAAAAAAGACAA
rnacentral:rRNA from 12 species